rnacentral:rRNA from 1 species
ACGAUGAAUCUUCUAGCUUGCUAGAAGUGGAUUAGUGGCGCACGGGUGAGUAAUGCAUAGGUUAUGUGCCCUUUAGUCUGGGAUAGCCACUGGAAACGGUGAUUAAUACUGGAUACUCCCUACGGGGGAAAGUUUUUCGCUAAAGGAUCAGCCUAUGUCCUAUCAGCUUGUUGGUGAGGUAAUGGCUCACCAAGGCUAUGACGGGUAUCCGGCCUGAGAGGGUGAUCGGACACACUGGAACUGAGACACGGUCCAGACUCCUACGGGAGGCAGCAGUAGGGAAUAUUGCUCAAUGGGGGAAACCCUGAAGCAGCAACGCCACGUGGAGGAUGAAGGUUUUAGGAUUGUAAACUCCUUUUGUUAGAGAAGAUUAUGACGGUAUCUAACGAAUAAGCACCGGCUAACUCCGUGCCAGCAGCCGCGGUAAUACGGAGGGUGCAAGCGUUACUCGGAAUCACUGGGCGUAAAGAGUGCGUAGGCGGGGUAAUAAGUCAGAUGUGAAAUCCUGUAGCUUAACUACAGAACUGCAUUUGAAACUGUUACUCUGGAGUGUGGGAGAGGUAGGUGGAAUUCUUGGUGUAGGGGUAAAAUCCGUAGAGAUCAAGAGGAAUACUCAUUGCGAAGGCGACCUGCUGGAACAUUACUGACGCUGAUGCACGAAAGCGUGGGGAGCAAACAGGAUUAGAUACCCUGGUAGUCCACGCCCUAAACGAUGGAUGCUAGUUGUUGCCUUGCUUGUCAGGGCAGUAAUGCAGCUAACGCAUUAAGCAUCCCGCCUGGGGAGUACGGUCGCAAGAUUAAAACUCAAAGGAAUAGACGGGGACCCGCACAAGCGGUGGAGCAUGUGGUUUAAUUCGAAGAUACGCGAAGAACCUUACCUAGGCUUGACAUUG